rnacentral:rRNA from 1 species
GACAGAGGGUGCAAACGUUGCUCGGAAUCACUGGGCGUAAAGGGCGUGUAGGCGGGAAGGUAAGUCGGGCGUGAAAUCCCUGGGCUCAACCCAGGAACUGCACUCGAAACUACUUUUCUUGAGUGCCGGAGAGGAAAGCGGAAUACCUGGUGUAGAGGUGAAAUUCGUAGAUAUCAGGUGGAACACCAGUGGCGAAGGCAGAUCUCUGGGCCGUAACUGACGCUAGA